rnacentral:rRNA from 1 species
ACUCAAAUGAAUUGACGGGGACCCGCACAAGCGGUGGAGUAUGUGGCUUAAUUCGAUGCAACGCGAAGAACCUUACCUGGAUUUGACAUGCAUUGUGUCUCCGAUGAAAGUCGGAUACUGUUGAAACAUACAGGCUUUGCACAGGUGCUGCAUGGCUGUCGUCAGCUCGUGUCGUGAGAUGUUGGGUUAAGUCCCGCAACGAGCGCAACCCUCGUGGUUUGUUGCCCCCGGAUUUAUUUCCGCGCACUCAAACCAUACUGCCCAGAUUAACUGGGAGGAAGGCGAGGAUGACGUCAAGUCAGUAUGGCCCUUACAUCCAGGGCUGCACACGUACUACAAUGCCCAAUACAAAUAGAUCCUAGUCCGCGAGGAGGAGGAAAUCUCAUAAAAUUGGGCCCAGUUCAGAUUGCAGGCUGCAACUCGCCUGCAUGAAGUAGGAAUCGCUAGUAAUGAUGCAUCAGCUACGGCAUCGUGAAUACGUUCCCGGGUCUUGCACACACCGCCCGU